rnacentral:rRNA from 1 species
UACGUAGGGUGCGAGCGUUAAUCGGAAUUACUGGGCGUAAAGCGUGCGCAGGCGGUUCGUUGUGUCGGCGGUGAAAUCCCCGGGCUCAACCUGGGAAUGGCCGUUGAAACUGGCGAACUGGAGUGUGGCAGAGGGGGUGGAAUUCCGCGUGUAGCAGUGAAAUGCGUAGAGAUGCGGAGGAACACCGAUGGCGAAGGCAGCCCCCUGGGCUGACACUGACGCUCAGGCACGAAAGCGUGGGGAGCAAACAGG